rnacentral:lncRNA from 10 species
UCUGCAUCAACAACUUCUGGAAGCAGAGAGUCCCUGAACCUUGGAGCAAGGAGAGAUGUAACAUACAGCCUCGGAGGGGUUGGAGGAGAGGUCCAUGGAGAUCACCUGGCUCAGCCUUCUCGUUUUCCAGAUGAUUUUUUUUAGUCCAAAGAGACUAAAUGACUUGACUAAGGCCACACAGCAUGUCAGCGGGCCAGCUAGGACUCCACCCACAGCCCCUGAGUCUGGGGAUCCCUGUGCUCUUGGCUCUGAGCAAGGCUGCCUCACUUCAUUUUAGUUUAGUCUGUGUGACUUGAGCACAAGUUCUGCACACAAAACUGUGCAAGGCCACUAAUAGCACUCACAGAGCAGUGCUAUCCCUUCCUUCCUUUGAAAUGGUGGAGGUGGAGACAGUACAUACAAGAGUUACUCAAGACAAGGAUGAGGGUGCAGGGAGGAAGCCGAGCCCUUCCAUGCCACCUCUGAGACAG